ACUGAUAUUAUUGAUGUAAUUUUCAUCUAAAAUGACUGAUAUCCUAUGAGCAAUAUUUACAUUCACCUCAAAAUUCAUUCCUUGUAUACAGGCAUAGUAUUUGCCGUUCCAUUAGGUAUAAACCAAUGUAUAAACCGGUUUUCAGAUUUCUGCCCGCUUAAUAAAUUUUCAUUUACUCGAACUGCUGGUACCGUCGGCAUCUACUCAACUUUAUAUGUAACCACAAAAAGCGAAGUAGUAAUAAAUUAGAAACAGCAUAGUAACAACUGAAAAUCCCCUUUAUUUACCCUGUCCAUGUUCGACACGACUGAUUAUCAGUUUUUGUCUUUGCGACCAGUGCAGAUCAUGAUCAGCCUGCACAUCUGUACAGUCUGAUCAUUAUCUGCACUGUUCGUCAUUCAGUCAGUAUCUUUUUGGUAAGCACUCCUUCUAAUAGUUAAUGGUACUGUCUAAAUUGAAAGAUGGACAGGUUCAUUAUAGAAAUUUAGCAUGGUAUGGGUAAAUAUGCAUCCGUUCUUUUGCCAAUACUUUAUCAAACGUGCAUUUAUGUCGCAUUCUAACCAGUUGUCGUGCAAAUGCCGUUCACAUACUGACUUCCAACGCCCAUUCUAAUACAAGAAAAUUACUGUAGUUAAACCCACUGUUCCUCCGAUGGCCUCGCUGAAGACCCAUUGCUACAAAUGUUAUGUAUACACUAGCAUUUUUAAGAGAUUUUUUCAAAAUUUUGAAAAAAAAAAUCACAGGUUUAUGAUUUCAACACACUUUAGAUAGCUUUAUUUAAGGGUGAUAAAGAAAGUUUAGUGAAAAUAUGGGAUGCAGCAUUUGAGGUCGUUGGGAGGUAAAGGUAUGGUAAAAUAAAUCAAACUCGGUCUCGGAAAGAACGUGAAUAAUUUAGUAACGAAUCAUCAAGGUUUUCGUUGACAAAUAUUCAUAUUUACCUUACAAACGAAAUUCCAUAUAACUCAGAUAUCUACAAACUAUCGUUCAAUUUUGCGUCACUGUCGUCCGACGGGUUUUCCAGAAAUUCUGGCUUCCCAUAGCAAUAUAUUGACUCACAUGUGACGAUUUGUCAAAGCAGCUAUCGUAACCCAACAAACAAGGCUGUGAAUUACAGUGUAACAAAAAAAAAAAAAAAAGGAAUGGAGACUAAUACUAGCCGAACAGAGGUAUUUUUACUGUAUUCAAUGACAUGUUUUUUGUCUUAGUUCAGCAGCUCAAUUAUCCGCGCAUUCCAUUGAUUACUCCAGUCUGCACGAACAGCGUUCUGGAAUGUUAGACAGAACAGUCAUCUAAUAAAUAAUUUCUAUAUAACAGAAAAUCAAGUCUUACAGGUUUGGGAACCAUAGCAAAAUUCACUAUUUUACUUCAUUCGACUGCAAUAACAGAUUUAGAAAAAUGUACUAGGACGUAAACGGAACAUACGGCUGGGUUCUAUCACGAUACGCCCAAUUCUUGCGUUGGAAUUGGGAAUUACAGCUGCUUAGAAGUAGAUCUAAUUCGUACAUACUCUCUCUUCGAUAUUUUUUUUCAGAAGCUCACGAGCUGGGUUUACCAUCUGGAAGGUAAGUGUGGUGUUACAAUAUAUCUGGUUUAUUUUACAUGAAUUCCAAGUAUAUAUUAUACUAGUAUACCGAUUAAACUAGGUGUCUCGAAUUCAAAGGGUCCGAGCAUUUUACUUUUUUUUCUUAGAACGACACAUUCGCUGUUGCUGUAGCCUCGUGUGCGUGCACGUGUAAAUUUGACAAAAACUUUAUAUUUACAUUGUGAAGAGUACUAAGCAAUUUGAAAAUGUCUUUUGGUAGUUUUUAUUUUUAUGUCUUUGUCUGCCUCAACUUUGACGACACUACCAGACAGUUUUACACCAAACUUUACAAGACUGAACACUGCCAAACCCACUUGUGCAUAUCGUCGGCAUUUUCCGAUUUGAUUUUCUGCUGAGUUAUGGCCGUUGAUUCAUCAAAUUUUAUGAUGUUCUGGCUACUUCUCUUACAGUACUGGGCAGAUUUCCACAAAACCUUACAGGAAUGAUCAGUGUCGAGCCUCUGUGCAUACUCGAGGCAUUUUCCAGUCCAGUGAUGAUUUUAAGUAGACUUUUUUAUAUUCUACCUUGUCCCAGCAUGUGACGAUUUGUCAAAGCAGCUAUCGAAACCCAGCAAACAAGGCUGUGAAUUAUUGUGUAACAAAAAAGAAAUGGAGACUAAAACUAGCCGAACAGAGACAAAGACUUACCAGAAAAUGAUUGGAUUAUACCACUGCUUGCUACAGCCUUUGGAAUUGCAGUAAUUGGCGGAAUCAUAAAGUGCAUUCAUUUCUGCAUACGUGGAAACCAAAAGCCAACUAAAAAACCACAGCCUGUUUCUGUUUGAGUAAUAAAUUGGAUUAAUUCCACCACAAACGUGUUAUAGCUAAGCCUGGUAACCUUUUUUAAGUUUGUGCUAGUGGUGGCUUGACUUUCUACGGGACCAAAAUGCUUCGGAGAAGUACAUGCUAUGGCGAUGACUUUAUGUUCUGUACAAAAAUAUGUUGGCAAAAAUGCUGUUUUACCUAUAUUCAAGAGAAAUGCAGCAAUAUUUUUCCUUCUAUAUAAAGUACCGGUAAAAGGACCUUUUCCCAAUUUAAAAAAAUGAUUUUUUCCCCAAUUUCCAUCAAAUUAUUCUCAAAAAGACAAAGGAAAAUGAUCAAAUUAUUCAUUGGUUUGGCAAUUUAUUGACUUGUACGCAAAAUAGAUCAUAACUUUGCCAAUAUUUAGUUUAAUGAUUGCUUGCAAUUUUAUAAGUACAAGCCUAUCUGGGGCAUUUAUUACUGUAACUGAUGACUAGAAAAACAGAAUGAAACCAACGAUUCCUGAAUUGAGAAAAAAUGCAGCGAUUUUUCCCAGUUCAGUCGGUACCGGACCUUUUUUGACAAAAAAAAAAAGGAAAUGCUGGAAUGUGUAAUGCUGCUAAUUUUUAUUGGAAUAUCAUAAAAUUCUUUAUUCUAAAAGGUUUCAUAUUGCAAUCCAGCGCAUAGUUUUUUAUAGCAAUAUGUUCAUUUUCAGUAUACUAUUUCAUAACGUUGCAGUUAUUUUCUAUUUGGAAAGUAAAACCUGUUAUUUUAGUGUUUGUGAUGUAAGUUAUAUCUCUCUAAUUUAUUGUAUGGUAAAAUAAAAUCA